rnacentral:rRNA from 1 species
GACGAACGCUGGCGGCGUGCCUAAUACAUGCAAGUAGAACGCUGAAGGAGGAGCUUGCUUCUCUGGAUGAGUUGCGAACGGGUGAGUAACGCGUAGGUAACCUGCCUGGUAGCGGGGGAUAACUAUUGGAAACGAUAGCUAAUACCGCAUAAUAGUAGAUGUUGCAUGACAUUUGCUUAAAAGGUGCAAUUGCAUCACUACCAGAUGGACCUGCGUUGUAUUAGCUAGUUGGUGAGGUAACGGCUCACCAAGGCAACGAUACAUAGCCGACCUGAGAGGGUGAUCGGCCACACUGGGACUGAGACACGGCCCAGACUCCUACGGGAGGCAGCAGUAGGGAAUCUUCGGCAAUGGACGGAAGUCUGACCGAGCAACGCCGCGUGAGUGAAGAAGGUUUUCGGAUCGUAAAGCUCUGUUGUAAGAGAAGAACGAGUGUGAGAGUGGAAAGUUCAC